UAAGGAAUAUUGGUCAAUGGACGCAAGUCUGAACCAGCCAUGCCGCGUGGAGGAUGAAGGCCCUCUGGGUUGUAAACUUCAUUUAUCUGGGACGAAACACUUCUUUUCUAGGAAGCUUGACGGUACCAGGUGAAUAAGCACCGGCUAACUCCGUGCCAGCAGCCGCGGUAAUACGGAGGGUGCAAGCGUUAUCCGGAUUCACUGGGUUUAAAGGGUGCGUAGGCGGACAUGUAAGUCCGUGGUGAAAUCUCAGGGCUUAACCCUGAAACUGCCAUGGAUACUAUAUGUCUUGAAUGUUGUGGAGGUUAGCGGAAUAUGUCAUGUAGCGGUGAAAUGCAUAGAUAUGACAUAGAACACCAAUUGCGAAGGCAGCUGGCUACACAAAUAUUGACGCUGAGGCACGAAAGCGUGGGGAUCAAACA
rnacentral:rRNA from 1 species